rnacentral:rRNA from 1 species
GCUCACCCGAAUCAGCGAUGGCAAAGUACUUGCCAAUCAAUCUUUCUCUGAUGUAGAUUUAUGGAGAAAAGGAGCAACGAACAUCCGUAAUAAAUUUGGUAUCUAUCGCAGUCUGGGGCGGAAGAUGCAGAGUGCAUCCGAUCGCCCGGACAAUGGCCUUAAAGAUGAAAGUCUACAAUUGGCAGAUUUUAAAGUCUAUGAAGCACAUACUAAUCCGAAUCCACAACCUCAUGAUUAAUUUGUCGCUUUGACAUUUUGUAUUUUCAAUCAUUGUACGUUUGUAUUCUUUCGCCCUUUCCUGCCAUAAGUUUAAAAAGAAUGCACGGAAACAGGAUUAGAUAAAUUCAAAAAGAAAGUAGAAAAGGGUAAUGCUUACAGGUUUUUCUUGUAAGUAUUAUCCUUUUCUGUCUUUCGGUUACAAUUUGCACCUCCAAGCCUAAAUACUACCUGAUGACCGAUAGCGAAAAGUACUGUGAAGGAAAGGUGAAAAGCACCCCGGGAGGGGAGUGAAAUAGAACCUGAAACCCUGUGCUUACAAGCACUUAGAGCACGUCAAAGUGUGAUAAGGUACCUAUUGUAGAAUGGUCCGGCGAGUUAUUGUAUGCAGCGAGGUUAAGUAGUUCAGCUACGGAGCCGAAGUGAGAGCGAGUGUUAACAGCACGUUCAGUUGCAUGCAAUAGACCCGAAACCGGGUGACCUAUCCAUGUCCAGGAUGAAGUGAGGGUAAAACCUCAUGGAGGUCCGAACCCACUCCCGUUGAAAUGGUAGGGGAUGAGGUGUGGAUAGCGGAGAAAUUCCAAUCGAACCCGGAUAUAGCUGGUUCUCCCCGAAAUAGUUUUAGGACUAGCCUCGUGAUUAAGAUUAUCGGAGGUAAAGCACUGAAUGGCCUAGGGGUCGAGAGAUUACCGAAGCCUAUCAAACUCUGAAUGCCGAAUAAUCAUGCACGGGAGUCAGACUGUGUGAGAUAAGUUUCAUAGUCGAAAGGGAAACAGCCCAGACCUACAGCUAAGGUCCCAAAGUACGUUUAAGUGGAAAACGAUGUGAAAUUGCGUAGACAACCAGGAUGUUGGCUUAGAAGCAGCCAUACAUUAAAAGAGUGCGUAAUAGCUCACUGGUCGAGUGACUUUGCGCGGAAAAUUUAACGGGGCUAAAACGUACACCGAAGCUUAGGCUUGUCACAAUGUGACAGGGGUAGGGGAGCGUUGAAUGAGGGGUGAAGUCGUAGCGAAAGCGACGGUGGACUUCAUUCAAGUGAGAAUGCCGGAAUGAGUAGCGAGAAUUAUGUGAGAAUCAUAAUGGCCGAAAGCCUAAGGUUUUUGGAGGAAGGUUCGUCCGCUCCAAGUAAGUCGGAAGCUAAGGUGAGGCUGAAAAGCGUAGCCGAUGCACAAACGGUUGAAAUUCCGUUACCACAGAAAGAUUUAAACUAAGGGACACUUUUGAAGAGCUGAUGCCGGGUGUUGGUUACCCCGGUCGUAAGGGAACGAAAUCAAGUAGUGAAGUCAGCGUGGAUGAAGGCGAGAAAAGCUUAGUGUAUAUCUUAUGUGUCCGUACCGCAAACCGACACAGGUAGGUAGGAAGAGAAUUCUAAGGCCAACGGGAGAAGGGUAGUUAAGGAACUCGGCAAAAUGUCCCCGUAACUUCGGAAUAAGGGGAGGUUUCUACGGAAACCCGCAGAGAAUAGUCCCAGGCAACUGUUUAUCAAAAACACAGCUCUAUGCUAAAUCGAAAGAUGACGUAUAUGGGGUGACGCCUGCCCGGUGCCGGAAGGUUAAGAGGAGGAGUGAGAGCCCUGAAUCGAAGCCCCGGUAAACGGCGGCCGUAACUAUAACGGUCCUAAGGUAGCGAAAUUCCUUGUCAGGUAAG